CUCCAUGCACCUGGAAAUCAUUGGAUCAGAAAUAAUGAACUGUGUGAAGUUCUCGGUGGGGAGGCGUGCUCACAUGUAUUAGUCCAUUAUGGUCAACACCAGAUAAAAACACACGGGGGACGACUGUUUUCAACCGACUUUAUUCUAAUUGUGCGAGAAAUUGCGUGCUGUGCGUCUGAUCAUAGAAGCAGAAGGCAGAACGAACUUGCUUGGCAGGUGAAUGCUAUAUUGUGCUUAAACGGCUUACACUAAAGCGUGCACUAACUAAAAGACCUUCGCUGCAUUCAACCAAAGGUGACAUGUUGACACACAGCCAAUGCGGGGGACAGGUCAUUCGCUAAUGGGGAGAUAAUGACAAGGAAAUCAUUUUCAUGUCGCUAAGCUACGCUAACUUAUUGUCCUCCAUAAAUAUGCAAGUGCACCCAGAUUUCGUAUCCAAAGUCAGGAAGCAGCAGCCCUACGAAUCAAUUAGCACGCAACCCAAGAAGCCUCACAAUCCAUUCCCAGUCUCUUUGUAAUCAGAUGAACCAAAGUCAAGGUCCCCUCACAGUUCUCUGAAUUGGUUAAGAUACCCAGUGGUAUGUAGUUGAAAUGUGGUGCUUUAAGGCGAAGAUCUUCAUAAUAUUCCAGAAUUUGAUAAAACUGUUGGUGAAACACCUAAACACAUUUAAAGGUCCAGAAGAAACAGAAACUUUGAUUUAGAGUCUAGUUGUGAGGACUCACUAGGUACAAGUAUAGUAAAAAUGUCUAAAUAUUAGGUACCUCAUUUGUUUGGUAGAAAAAAAUCCUAAAUACUAUUAAAGGAAAAUUGGUGUGAACAGGUAGGUGGUAACACCUGCUAGGCUCUAGGCCUGCCGCACCUCCACUGGUGCCCAUUGGGCUAGCUGCGGGGUCAUUAGCCAGGGACACACAUACUAGUACACGCAUAAAGUGCACACCACCUAAUGGCCAUGAUAUAAAGUUGCCUUAAUUAGUAGAUAGAUAUCUGUUUGGUAUAAAUUCAAAAUCCUGGGUAUUUAGUUUGAGCACAAAGGUAGUCUUGCCUAACUAAUGACAAACUGGAUCCUCAGUUUAGUUCUCAUUUGUAUUACGAUGAGACGGUAUGGAGAGCUAGCUAGUAAUCUGACAGGAUCUCAGUUUUAGUCAUGUGAAAUGCCCUAGCCUUACCCUCAAGCCAAUUGUGGAUCAAAGUAUUCAGGACCACGAUGAAGUUUUAGCCAGGUGCAAGCUUUUAGGCUUUUAGGCUUUGCUCUUACUGCCUGGUGGGCUUCUGUAACUUGGCUGGCUAUAGGCUAUGCUCAACCAUUAAGUGAGGUCAGUGACGACUUUCAUUCAGUUUUAGUUGGUGGUGGAGACCGCUGGGUUGUCAAUAGCUUGGUUUUUCGUAUAAACAAACAGUGUUUCCCCGUCUAAGAAACCCACCACGGAUACAGUUGUUGUCUUAAACUCACUGAUCAUGUGCCGCUGUAAUUAGUUCAGCCUGGUGCAAUCUGGAACGGUAAUGUCUAAAAUCACUGCAGCACACUUGUCUGCAGCACACUUGAGUUCUCACAAGAACAGCGGCAAGUGUCAAAUCUCAUUCUCAGUAUUUCAUUACUGGAUUGGCAGAUCUGAAAUCACAUAAUGCCUCAGUUUUCUUCCCUACUGAUGAAAGCAGAAAUACAAUUUCUUGAAAUGUCAUAACUCUUCAGGAAUGGCAGAUCAGCUGCCUUGAGCCAUGUACUCAUUCACAUAUGGGAUUGCUGAUUGAUAUGGAGAGGACACAUGAGUAUGAGGUUUACAGUGCUAAGCUGAUGAGUUCUCACGGUAGAUUUAAAGACAAUAUAAAAGCAUUAUGGAAAAGGUAUUGGGCAGAUCACAAAACAAUAUUUGCAAUACAACUUUACAAUAGUAAAAAGCUUUCGAUCUGCUCUAAUGCCUUACCAAUGACUGUAAACCAAACUGAACCAAUGAUUUCAUCAAAUAUGGUUUGGUUCUGGGUGGACCCGAAUGAUAUUCUGUUCACUCUGCAUACUGGCUCACACUUGAGCCCAUGGCACCUUUUCAUUUUGAUGUAUUUUGUCUUAAUUUCUGUGUGGCGAAAUGCUGCCCAUGCUUUUUUGCAGUCGUUUUGCCUCACACAUGUUUGUGAUGCAUCACCUGCUGCAUGCAUAGUUUGACAUGCUAAUAUAUUUACAUGUUGAAAUAAUAACAAAGGAGACAUUCAGUGUAUUAGCUGGUUGAUGUAUGAGGCGGGUGUGUUCACUUGCACCCAUUUUUCAUGUACCUCGUUGAAUAUGCGCCACCAUAGGUCAUUUCAGUCAUGAUGGGGGAGCCUGGUAAAAAAAAAUCCCCAUCGGCUGAUUAGAAUUGCCUGUAUGUGUUGCCACUGGAGGCGACUAGCAUCCGGGGCUAACCAGCCAGAAAUGAUCAUGAUAUCCGCUGCAUACGUGUGGAACGCUAACAUAUAAAUCAGGAACACGAGAACACAGAACACAAGAUGCACACAGAAUCCAGGGUGACUAACAUUUACCUCCAGCUUAUACACAACCCUCUGUGGACUAAAAAUAUUGACAAAGCCAAGGAUGUAGUAGAUCUUUUUCUCUUUUCUUCCUGUCUAUUUUACCACAGUGGUCCCUAUCCUCUGUGGGCGAGCAUUGGCAGGCCUAAUUGGAUGGUCUAUGAAUGGGGAUGGCUCGUGCCUUGCAGGCACACUCCGACAGCCUUGAAUAAGGAUCAGUCUACUGAAGGUGUUGAAUAUAAAUGCAGUGCUUAUUCUCCACCAGCAUCGUGCAAGCUAGAUGCGUCACAGACAGGAAUGUCUGCAAGGCAUCAGACACGCGACACACAUUCCCCACCCCACUCUGGUCGUCCCCACUGUUGCCUGCACGCCAUGCAUGGCCACUACACAGUCUGCAGGGGCGCAGGGGGUCGUCACACUAACCAAUAAAACAACCCCCCCAACCAUAGAUUCUGCACAGCAGGAUGCAACACACAACUGGGUGGAGACAUCCGACCGCAACACACGCCGCAUGUUGAACCCGGGAUCCAUAAGGGCACUCCUUCACAGUACAGCAUGCAUUGUCUGUAGCUCGGAAUAACUUAAUUCAGUCUCUUAAACACAGAGAUGCUGGAUCCAUAUUCAUGUAAGUCACUGCUGUGUUGAAUCAUGGAGAGUAGUGCAAGCCGGCAGUUACACUCCAUCAUCUAGUCAAUCCAUCUCUCCCCUCUGAUGCUCCGCCAGUGAGCAGGAGCAUCAGGAAUGGCUCAUCGAGUUCAUCGACACAUCUAACCAAUCUUCCUCAUCUAAUCACCGCCAGUGCUCCUCCGUGAAGCUUAUUGGCAUUGAUGGCAUGUUUGCUUCCAUAAUUGCAUUCAUAUAUAGGGCCAUCAGUCUCUGAAUGUAAUUGGAACUCUGGAGAUAAUGAGUUGCACGUGGGAACCUCUCACACAACUGUAAUACUUUUUUCAGAGGUCAGUUGUCAAGAACACCCACAUCUUUGUUUGAUAUGUGUACUUAAAAAGCUUUUAUUUAAAAAAGAAAAAGUAGUUUGAAGCCAAAUGGAGUGUGAUUGUAUGCAUGUAUAUUGAUGUAUACUUUGUACUGUAGGUAUUAUUUUGCUAGUGUUCUCCUGCAUACUGCCAAGGUUUUCAUUCUGGUGGGGUGUUUUGAUCAGAGCUGGUAAUGCUUUAGGGACUGGAGAGUGCUGAGUUCACAGAUCUAUGAGUCAGUAACAGAUUGACAUGCAAAGAUGGGUCUAAGCACAGGGUCAGUUUAAUAUCGGGUGGACAGACUGUAGACUAGGGCUGAACGAUUUGGGAAAAUAAUCUAAUUGCGAUUUUUUACCAAAAUAUUGCGAUUGCGAUUUAAUAUGCGAUUUUUUUCCCCUCUUUUUUCCCCCAACAAAACGUAAUGAAUGAUUUAAAUAUGAACAACACAAUAUUAGAUACAUUUAGUGUAAAAUAUUCUUUCCCACAUUUUACAUUUUUAUUUAACUGCUCAUUACAGAAACAAGAACAACAAAUCGGUGGCUUUGCCACUGUGCAUUUAAGUAAUUUAAAAAAAGUAAUUUUAAGUAUAAACACUAGGCAUGCACUUUUUUAACACUGUGUGCAAAAUGUACCAUCUUAAAAAAAUAAAAAUAAAAAUAAAAAAAAAUCAUAAUUUUUUUUUUUUUUUAGACCACGUUUUUUAAUCGCGAACGUUGCGGUUAGAAAAUCGCGUUCUAUCAUAUCGCGAUUAAAUCGCAAAUGCAAUUAAUCGUUCAGCCCUACUGUAGACUAUUUGGUUGAUGUGGGGAGACUAAUUCAGACAAGAUGCCUGUCAAGGUGUGACAUGCAGUCUCGCUUUUGUUGCGUUUAUUAAUAUUGAUUUUGGCAUAUGAUAAAUUAUAAAUAGAAAUGCCUAAUAAACAGUAUUCAGUGACUGCACAAUGCGAUGUUUAUUUUUUCUUGUCUUUUAUGUGGAAAGUGUGGCUAUCAUGCACAUUCAAAGGGUUGAUCUUAAAUCUCCUAAAUGGAUAUAUUUAGCGUUUACAUUUGCCACUGUAAAUGAAAGUCAAAUUCUACCAUCUGGCAUUGCUACCCAAUGGGAUUAUGCCACUACCUAACCUGAGGAAAUGGAACCCUCUUUUGCCUUGUCAGGACAAUACACCAAGAGCCUCUUACCCCGCAAGCAAGCAAGGUAACUCUAAUUGGGUUUCCAUCGCCAACACAUUACUAGGACAGCAGCUGGGUAGCCUGGUGUAAUCCAUAUUUGCUCAGAAGGGAGAAAUUGAGUUAGCAUUGAGAGACUGGAUAGGCAGGAGCUACUGCUGAUUCAGUCUGAAAACAUAUAAGAUGCCUGAGGCACAAACAUUGACAGGAUGAAACGGGGAGAGCUUCUUGAGCAGCUGGUGUCUAGCUGGGAUGGAUAGUUAAUACUGUAAUGUUACACAACAUUCUAUUCAAACAAAAAGUACUUUCACUGAAUUUCAGUCUUUCAGCCUCUGAGUACGAACAAAACAUGCUGAUGCUGAAAACCUUUGGGCAUGAGACCUUUCUUACUUUCACACUCCUUAUCCUCUUUCAACUUUGGGGAAAUUGUGUGUCUGUGCUUCUAACAUGUGUCUGCUCUUGAUGAAGAAAAUAUUCCAUAUACCUGUACUUUGGAUUCUAUACAUGUAGAAGGAGGUAGUUUACUGUUUAUAGAAUGGACGGUGGACGUGACACAUUUAGCAUUUUAGCAUGCUAUACAUUUAGCAUUUACACAAUGUUUGAGAAUGCCAUACUGUCUAAGUAGCAGCACAGCACUGUAUUUAAAAAUGGCACUUCUAAUGAUCUUUAAUAGGGGAAUUUCACUUCAAAAUGUAUUCAGUUCAAAUUAAUUUUGAUGUUAUAAGGUCAUG
ensembl:lncRNA